UUAGCAGAGAAAUGGCAACUCAGCCGGGAGCUGGAGCUAGAAACUUUCUGUCAAUGUAACAGCCGCGUGGGUGGCGACCCAAUGGUGGUUGGGCUUCGGGUCACGUGACGACUUCUUUGUAGCUCCGGAAGAGAACGGUGAAGUUUAGGUUGCUUGGAAGAAGCAGAGAACUGCAAAGGGGGGAAAAAAUCGAGAUCUGGAAGGAUCACUCACAGAGAUGGAAGGUGUGUUAAUUUGGGCGCUUCUUGGAUUCUACCCUGAGGAGGAGGCGCGUGGUGAGAGGAGA